AAAAUUUCUUUCUAACUUUGAUUCAAACAGGCAAUAAACAAUCAUUGAUGCUGGUUUCACAAAAUUGCAUGUAACCUGGAAAACUAGAAGUUUGAAUUGAAAUAUUUCUGUCUACAUUUGUUUCUCUUGUUUUACUUUUGGAUUUUCCUACUAAUCAUGUGAUACAGUAAGCAUCAGGUAUAUCCUUACUUGCAGUCAAUUGGUUUUGUUGGUCCUGGGAUUGCGCUCGAUGGUCUAACCAUGGCAAAGCACACAUCAAUAGCAUCUGCUUGGCUUACUUUAGUUGUUGGGCUAAAAUCAUUUAGUCAUUGUGGGUUCCUUGUGAAUCUUCAGGUUUCUUAAGAAGCAAGGUUUCAAAGGACAAUUUAAAGGAGGAGGUAUCUCAUGAACUCGUAGAUCGCCAUUUUGAUUGGUUUUUGAUGACGUUUGGAAGCAUACUUGCAAAUUAAGAUCAAGUGUUAAAUUUU